GUCGAGAAUCUUCGGCAAUGGGCGCAAGCCUGACCGAGCGACGCCGCGUGGAGGAUGAAGGCCUUCGGGUUGUAAACUCCUGUCGAGGGGGAAGAAGGUCCGCAAGGACUUGACUGAUCCCUGGAGGAAGCACGGGCUAAGUUCGUGCCAGCAGCCGCGGUAAGACGAACCGUGCGAACGUUAUUCGGAAUCACUGGGCUUAAAGCGCGUGUAGGCGGGAAGGUACGUCCGUCGCUGAAAUCCCCCGGCUCAACCGGGGAACUGGCGUGGAUACGGCCAUCCUGGAGGGGCGUAGGGGGACCUGGAACUUCCGGUGGAGCGGUGAAAUGCGUUGAGAUCGGAAGGAACGCCCGUGGCGAAAGCGAGGUCCUGGACGCCUACUGACGCUGAGACGCGAAAGCCAGGGGAGCGAACGGGAUUAGAUACCCGGGUAGUCC
rnacentral:rRNA from 1 species